UACGGAGGGUGCGAGCGUUGUUCGGAAUUACUGGGCGUAAAGCGCGUGUAGGCGGCCUUCUAAGUCUGGUGUGAAAGCCCGGGGCUCAACCCCGGAAGUGCAUUGGAUACUGGCAAGCUAGAGUACGGUAGAGGAUGGUGGAAUUCCCGGUGUAGCGGUGAAAUGCGUAGAGAUCGGGAGGAACACCCGUGGCGAAGGCGGCCAUCUGGACCAGUACUGACGUUGAGGCACGAAAGCGUGGGGAGCAAACAGG
rnacentral:rRNA from 1 species